AAGAAGUGCAGGGAGGAGGCCAGACAGAAAAUUCCCCAAAUUAUCGAUGAGCUGGAAAAUACCAAGGCGCAGAAGACCCAGUUCCGAUUUUAUGGGUCAACUUGCAGAAGACCAACCAGGCCUUCGGACCGGCACAAAUUGCACUCUGCGCAGAGGAGUACAGCUGGUUCGAGCGGUUCCUGGCGAUGAGGAAGGAAUUGGUGGGCGGGGUCGAGGCCAAGCUAGUUUUUUUU